AAAAAGGAAAAAAAUUGAACGGAAAAAAAAAAUGAAAAAAUGAAAAUGUGACAUAAGCAGAGGUAGCAAUAGCCUACUUGGAUCUGAAUUAUUAUUCUUCUUCACUUUUUUGUGCUUAAAUAUAUAGACAAAAAUUAAAUGCUAUACAUACAUGAAUGA
rnacentral:ribozyme from 14 species